rnacentral:rRNA from 1 species
UACGUAGGUGACCAGCGUUGUCCGGAUUUACUGGGCGUAAAGAGCGCGCAGGCGGUCGUUCAAGUCGAGUGUGAAAGCCCCCGGCUCAACUGGGGAGGGUCAUUCGAUACUGAUCGACUCGAAGGCAGGAGAGGGAAGCGGAAUUCCCGGUGUAGCGGUGGAAUGCGUAGAGAUCGGGAAGAACAUCGGUGGCGAAGGCGGCCUGCUGGGCUGUAGCUGACGCUGAGGCGCGACAGCGUGGGGAGCAAACAGG